CCAAUGCAGGGACUUCAAGCAUAUGAAAUCUUGAGGUUAAUGCCGUAGUCAAAGCUUCAACCAAAGCUGUUGCUGCAGACCUGAGCUGAUUUUUUUGAGAAUGCCAUGGUAGUUGCUAGUACUUAACAGAUAGAGGAAUUGUCAAAGAGAACAACACUGUGGCAGUGUUAUUGUGUUGGAUGUGUUAGAUGGCUAAUGAAAACUGCACAGAAAUGAAAGUUAUCCAAGGGAAAGCAAAAUUUCAGGAGUUUAAUACACUUCACUUGGCAAAUGAGUAAUUUCAGCCUUGCUGUGCUGAAAGAACAAAAUUGUCAUAUUUGUGAUGACACUACAGGAAUAAAGGACUAAAAGUGCA